CACUAAAAAAAAUUAAUAUCGAUACUACAUAUGUCAGUUUUGUGACAAACUAAGUAUGUGAUAUAAGUAUUUGAAUAAAAUGAACACUACAAGAGACGAUUUAAAUAUCAAAGUAGAACUUACAAAAUGAAAUUUAUUUUAGGUGUACAAAUACAAUUGACAUUUUUUUUAAGUAUUAAAUUUAUAGCUGGAGUCCAAAAUCUCUCAUUCUUGUAACCACUUUGGUACUUUGCUUAUAUAGCUUUUUAAGGUUCUUGUGGGAGGGGUAAGAUCCGAGUAUGGAAUAGAGCCCAUGGUCAAGUCCGAGGAAGGGGAAGGGCCCACCCAUGCAUUAGUCCUUACCCAACACGUGGAUGAGAAUCCGAGGAGGAACCACAAAUAGGCCGAUCUUUCAAGGAGCCCGAAGAGUGAGCGCUUCCUUGGGAAUUGUUGGGCAGGCCACUUGUACUAGAUAACAUAAUACUGAAGAAGACGGUAGAGGCAUGCAAGCAAAGAAUAAGGGAAGUAUCCAGACAAAGUAACCAUUACCUUCGCAUUCAAUGCACUGAACCUUGAUGGAACAAGCAUACUCUACCACUUCUAGCAAAACCUUGAUGGAACAAACAUCUAAAGGAAGGUUAGUGACUAUACAAGUGGAGGGCUUAGAUGUAAUUCAGCUAACUAUAUAAAGAAAGGAAGGUCCAACAUAAAGGGGAUGAAAAACUGAAAGGAAAUAAAAACAUUUUGUAGCACUAUCUUGUGAUUAAAACUUGAAUAAUCUAUGAACAACUGCUCUUCGGCCAGGCUCGAGGAAGUGUUAAUUCUAAAAAUCUAUUCUUCUUCCUUGAAUUGUGUAACUUUUACCCAUUCAUCUAAAGCUCAAAUCAUACCAGUACAUUAAAGAUGACCUUGGAAGCCUAUCCUCUAACAAAUUAAUUAUAUUGAAAUGUUUAGCUUAAAUUUAUUAUUUUAAGUGGGCUUAGCCUGUUAGACCUGCUCACAGUUCCAAUAUACAAAAAUUUGCAUUUUAUAGGCAAAUAAAAAAAUCAUUUAUUCAUUAAAAAAAUCAUUUAAUUAUUAUUUCUAAAAAAAAAUAUAGAGAAAAUUUAUGACCAAAACCUGCAACCCACUGAACUAUCACUGUUAUGCAUAUAAAAGAAACAAGUACCCAUAUAUAGAUUCCGUUCAUCUAUGAUCUAUCUCCUUUUUUUUUUUAAUUGUACCUUUACACACGGCGGGAAACCGAUAAAUUUGGCGAAAUUCCUCCCUCCAAAAACACCCGAUCCUUCCCAAUCCCCACUUUAAAACCCUAACGCACACUCCUUUCCCAAAAUUUCGAAAAACUUUCAUUCACAUUCACAUUUUCGCAUUCUCUCUCUUUCCCACACUAUUCGUGUGAGAGAAAACAAAGAGAGAGAGAGAGAGCAAAAUCCCAAACCCAAACCCUUAUUUCCAUUUUCGUCACUUUUGCUCUCUCUCUAACAAUGGCACUUGCUCUGAAGAAGCCCCAACAUCUCCACGACGACGACACCACCGUAGACGGCACUCCCGUUCGGUACCUUCCGCUCGACCACGUCUACUCCGCCACCUCGCCCUGCCGCGUCACCGCCAGCGGCUCCUCCGCCUUAAUGUCCAAGAAAAUCAAAGCUCGGAAGCUUCUCUCCACCAAUUUAGACGACAAUACUAACCUUUCCUCGUCUUCUCUUCCUAACAAGCCUCCUCUCCUCUACGUCUACACUCGCCGCCGUAAGCGCCUCCGUCAUUCCCUUCCGAACCCUUCCUUUCUCCGCUCCUUAAUCUCUCGCGACGACGAGGAGUUCGAAGUGCAGGAAUCGAAGGUGGAUGCACUGUCGUUAAAUGCGAAUCAGAAGAAGAAGAAAAAGCAUAGGUUAGGGACUGGUGAGCUUGUCAAAUUGGGCGUGGAUUCCAGCGUCUUGCGUAGCCUUGAUCGGCCGCGAUUGAGGGAUUGUAGAAUUCAUAAUAGUAGUAAUGCUAAUGUUGAUGCUAAUAGUAGUAAUUUGAAGAAAAGGAAGCGGAAUUUGGAAAAUUGCGAGAAGGUUUUGUCGGAUUCGCCUACCACUAAGCGAUGGAUCAGGUUGAGUUUGGACAAUGUUGAGCCAAAAACGUUUAUUGGAUUACAAUGCAAGGUUUAUUGGCCAUUGGAUGCUGAUUGGUAUUCUGGUCGAGUUGUGGGUUACACCCCAGAGUCUAAUCGACAUCAUGUAGAAUAUGAAGAUAGUGAUAAAGAAGAAUUAAUUCUCUCAAAUGAGAAAGUUAAAUUCUACAUUUCCCACGAAGAGAUGCAGCGUUUGAACUUGACUUGCAGUGUUACGAGUACAGAUGGUGAUGUGUAUGAUUAUAAUGAGAUGCUCGUGUUGGCUGCGAGUUUGUAUGACUGCCAAGAGCUCGACCCUGGGGAUAUCAUAUGGGCCAAGCUUACUGGUCAUGCAAUGUGGCCAGCAAUUGUUGUGAAGGAAUCCCUCAUCCGUGAUCGUAAGGGUUUAAGCAAACUUUCAGGUGGAGGGUCAGUUCCGGUGCAGUUUUUUGGCACGCAUGAUUUUGCAAGGAUCAAAGUGAAGCAGGCUAUCUCAUUUCUUAAGGGACUCCUUUCUUCUUUCCACCUGAAGUGCAAGAAACCUCGUUUCAUUCGAGGCUUGGAAGAAGCAAAAACGUAUUUGAGCGAACAAAAGCUUCCAAGAAGAAUGCUACAGCUGCAAAAUGGUAUUACCACUGAUAAUGUUAGCACAAGUGAAGAUGAUGGAGCGAGUACAGAUACAGGUGAAGAUUGCAUUGAAGAUGCAGGGAUUCAGGGAGCAACGCAGGGCCUUGGAACUCCUCCCUAUGUAAUUGGGGAUGUGCAAAUUUUAAGCCUUGGAAAGAUUGUCAAGGACUCUGAACAUUUCCAGGAUGAGAGAUUCGUUUGGCCUGAAGGAUAUACUGCCAUGAGGAAGUUUACUUCAAUAACUGAUCCCAGUACAUGCACCUUAUAUAAGAUGGAAGUGUUAAGAGAUGCUGAAUCAAAGAUUCGACCUCUAUUUAGAGUGACAUCAGAUACUGGAGAGCAGAUCAGUGAUGACAGUAGGUAUGCUAUUGCAUCACUGAAUCAGUUUGAGGGAUCCACUCCAUCUGAUUGCUGGAAUAAAAUAUACAAAAGGAUAAAGAAAAUACAAACAAGUAGCUCUGAUAGUUCUGGUGCUGACGGUGGAGGAGAAAAGAUUGAUAAAACUGGUUCUGAUAUGUUUGGUUUCUCCAAUCCUGAAGUUGUGAAGCUUAUACAGGGUUUGUCUAAAUCUAGAUUCUCUUCUAAAUUAUCCAUGUCCAAGUUAGCCUCUAGACGACAUCAAGACCUGCCUGUUGGUUACAGACCUGUUCGUGUUGAGUGGAAAGACCUUGACAAGUGCAGUGUUUGCCACAUGGAUGAGGAGUACGAAAACAAUCUCUUCCUGCAAUGUGAUAAAUGCAGAAUGAUGGUCCAUGCUAGAUGUUAUGGAGAAUUAGAACCUGUUGAUGGAGUGCUAUGGUUGUGCAACUUAUGUCGACCAGGGGCUCCCAACCCUCCGCCACCUUGCUGCCUUUGUCCAGUAAUAGGGGGUGCAAUGAAGCCUACAACUGAUGGGCGCUGGGCUCAUCUGGCGUGUGCAAUAUGGAUACCUGAAACUUGCUUAUCUGAUGUCAAAAGAAUGGAGCCCAUUGAUGGGCUAAGUAGAAUCAAUAAGGACCGCUGGAAGCUUUUAUGUAGCAUCUGUGGUGUGUCUUAUGGAGCUUGCAUUCAAUGUUCAAACAAUACUUGUUAUGCAGCAUAUCAUCCACUUUGUGCACGUGCUGCUGGUUUGUGCGUUGAGCUUGAAGAUGAGGAUAGAUUAUAUCUACUAGCUGUAGAUGAUGAUGAAGAAGAUCAAUGCAUUCGUCUGCUUUCCUUCUGCAAGAAGCAUAGGCAGCCCUCCAAUGAGCGUUCUGCUGCUGAUGAACGUCUUGGGCGAGUUUCUCGUCAGUGUUCAGAUUACAUACCACCCUCUAAUCCGUCUGGUUGUGCUCGCAGUGAGCCUUACAAUUACUUUGGUAGAAGGGGACGAAAAGAACCCGAAGCCCUUGCUGCUGCCUCCUUGAAGCGCUUGUUUGUACAGAACCAGCCUUACUUAGUUGGUGGCUACAGCCAACAUGCAUUUUCAGGCAAUUCACUGCCUUCCAGUGGCGUAAUUGGCUCUAAGUUCUCUUCUACCCUUCAGAGACUGAAAACCUCUGAGCUUGAUACUCCUAAAGACAUACGUUCUAUGGCUGAGAAAUAUACAUACAUGAAGGAGACAUUCCGAAAGAGACUAGCUUUUGGGAAAUCAGGAAUCCAUGGAUUUGGCAUCUUUGCAAAGCAUCCACAUAGAGCAGGAGACAUGGUGAUUGAAUACUCUGGUGAACUUGUUAGACCUCCUAUAGCUGAUAGGAGAGAACGCUUUAUAUACAAUUCCUUGGUGGGUGCUGGGACUUACAUGUUUCGGAUAGAUGAUGAACGAGUCAUUGAUGCGACAAGGGCCGGAAGCAUUGCUCAUCUGAUUAACCACUCUUGUGAACCAAAUUGCUAUUCAAGAGUUAUAAGUGUUAAUGGUGAUGAGCAUAUAAUUAUAUUUGCAAAGAGAGACAUUAAAAGAUGGGAGGAACUCACAUAUGAUUACAGAUUUUUUUCAAUUGAUGAACAACUAGCAUGUUAUUGUGGCUUUCCAAGAUGCCGGGGUGUAGUUAAUGACAUUGAAUCGGAAGAGCGAGCAGCAAAGCUAUAUGCACCUCGCAGUGAAUUAAUAGAUUGGAGAGGAGAAUGAGAGAGAAUUCUCAUUGUAAAAAUAUGCUCAUCUAAGAUCCUUCUGAAGAUACAUUGCUUCCUUCCAACAAUCUGCUCAUCAUCUGUUAUUCUUAUCAAGGCAGAUAGGGUUGUAGAGCUCUGGUUUUCCUCCUGUCACCUAUUUGUCAUACCACAACCAAAUGAAAGCUUUUUCACUAAAGCUGAUUCCUCUUUUUGGUCUGAACAAACUAACUUGAGAAUGGUGUCAAACAGUUUUAACAAAAUUUAAUUUCAAACAUUGAAAAAAAGUCAAUCAACAGUGGGAAUCUGAGUAUAAGUGGUGGGGGUGAAGAUGUUUCUCGUAAUUGACUUGCAAAUCUACCUACAACCAUCCAUUGCAUUGAUUAUAAUUUGAAGAUGGGUGGAAUAAAGAUCAUAUAGAUCAAGGAAAAGAUGUUAAGAGUUAAGGCUAGGGGAGGCCAUUUUCAAAGAUGAAUUUAGAGUGAGAAAAAGGAUAAAGAAGUAGAUGUAUCACGCGUUCAAUUGUGUCAAGGCAGGGUGCAAGCUGGAUGAGUGACAACUAUUGAUUCUUCAAGAGGAACGAGUGAUACGAUGAGUGACAAGAUGGAAUUGUUGGUUAGAAAAUGAUGAGAACCAAAUAGAAUCAUGUUGGUCCAAUGCAUGCUGACUAUGCAUGCUGACUGGAAGAGAAUGUACUUCUUGGUGUUAGAGUUGACUGCGUAUUUAGUAUUAGAAGAUGUGUGAUUUGUGGUAUGUAUCAAAUCAAGGAGUUGAAAGAUAGUCUCAUGUGCUUGUAUGGCGGAUGUUUAUUUGUACGAAUUGUAUUGAAUUGUGGUAUCAGUGUGUGUUGUCUGAUUCAUAAACCAGUGGAUUUAUUUUGUGUAUGCGUAGUUUUAUGAUAUUGGAAUCAAGUGGGUUUAUUUUGGGUAUUA